GUUCACCUCAGCAGCACAGGCACCAAAAUUGGAAUGAUACAGAGAAGAUUAGCAUGGCCCCUGCACAAGGUGACACACCAAUCCGUGAAGCAUUCUAUAUUUUU